rfam:Leucosporidium creatinivorum strain 62-1032 BCR35scaffold_24, whole genome shotgun sequence.
GCCUUCAUAGCUCAGUUGGGAGAGCGUACGCCUGAAGUUUCAGGUUCGCAUUAGCGUAAGGUCCUUGGUUCGAACCCGAGUGAAGGCA